UGGGGAAUCUUGCGCAAUGGGCGAAAGCCUGACGCAGCGACGCCGCGUGAGUGAUGAAGGCCCUCGGGUUGUAAAGCUCUGUGGAGGGGGACGAAUAAGCGUUGGUCAAUAUCCAGCGUGAUGACGGUACCCUUUUAGCAAGCACCGGCUAACUCUGUGCCAGCAGCCGCGGUAAGACAGAGGGUGCAAACGUUGUUCGGAAUUACUGGGCGUAAAGCGCGUGUAGGCUGCUUCGCAAGUCGGAUGUGAAAGCCCUGGGCUCAACCCAGGAAGUGCAUUCGAAACUGCAGAGCUGGAGUCCUGGAGAGGAAGGCGGAAUUCUCGGUGUAGAGGUGAAAUUCGUAGAUAUCGAGAGGAACACCGGUGGCGAAGGCGGCCUUCUGGACAGUGACUGACGCUGAGACGCGAAAGCGUGGGGAGCAAACAGG
rnacentral:rRNA from 1 species